AACGUAGGAGGCGAGCGUUAUCCGGAUUUACUGGGUGUAAAGCGCGUGCAGGCGGUGGUGUAAGUGGAGCGUGAAAGCGCCCGGCUCAACCGGGCGAGGACGUGCCAAACUGCACAACUGGAGGUAGGUAGAGGCGUGUGGAAUUCCGGGUGUAGUGGUGAAAUGCGUAGAGAUCCGGAGGAACACCAGUGGCGAAGGCGACACGCUGGGCCUGACCUGACGCUAAGACGCGAAAGCAUGGGGAGCGAACGGG
rnacentral:rRNA from 1 species